GUAGUAGCAACAGCAAGCCCUGCUUCUUCUUAUCCUCAUCGCAGCUGUUUCUCCUCCUCUGCUCUCCAUCCACCUCACGUCACCACCCAGCUCUCCUCUUCCUAUCUACUCCAGCAAACCCACAAACGGCUGGCUGGCCUUGGCGUUGCCGAUGACUGCACUCCCCUGGAGUGCGCUCGGCCGUGAGACCAGAGGACGCGUGCGCGCGGCCGUCAGACCAGAGGAGGCCAUGGGAGCUCCCCUGUGCCGUGGUCCCGAUCUUGCCGCGAACUCACCGCCCCUUGCUCCGGAUUCGGGCGAUCCCGCGCCGCUCAUCCUCGCGUUGACCGUGAGAGGAGGAGGCCAGCGUCUCGUCCAGCAGCGGCCCACCAGAGUCGCCCCGGCCUACUACGCCACAGCCAGCCUAGCACGCGAGGCUCUUGCCGGCUAGAUCGAGGGGAUCCUUCCUUCUUUGUCAGCCCAACUAACUGAAAUCGGCCUGCAUCUGCACCCCUCUUUCUGAUCCCGUGCUUCCAACGAUACUCAUCUCGUUCUAUGCUUGUAGGCCGAUGUGAAGCCAGCCGCUGACACGCCGUUGCAGAUCACUAGAUCUGGAGUGCCCCCGCUGCAUCCUGUCCACGUCACACCUGCGGUCAACGACCGCCGUCGGAACCCUCCUCCCUCCCUCCCUCCUCGAGGACUCCGGUUCUCUUCGUUGCCUUCCCAUCAUGAUGGGUUAUUUCUUCUCUUUUUUUUGCCUUUGAUUCUCAUGUCUGGUGAGAAUCUGCCCGCGGAUCCCUCUUUGUUUGCAUGUGUGAUGGCUGGGCUGAAACUCUGUUGAGGUGACCGCGGGUUGAAUACCAAAAAAUAUAGGGUCUUUUUUGUAAAACCGAAGCAUUUUCUCAGAUAACCACUUAAAAGGGGAGUGCGGGUUAAUUUCUUAUAAACCGAGGGACUUCUAUGCAAAAUUGCUAGCGACGACGGACGACCAGAAACCC
rnacentral:rRNA from 1 species